rnacentral:tRNA from 1 species
GGAGGGGUGCGAGAGCGGCCGAUUCGGCACGCUUGGAAAGCGUGUGUGGGGAAACUCACCGUGGGUUCGAAUCCCACCCUCUCCG